GAAAUAUNGGCUAAAUAUGUAAACCACGGACCUUCAAAGCCCGAACUGUGAACAACUCACUAUUUCUG
rnacentral:tRNA from 1 species